ACGGAAGGCAGCAGUGGGGAAUAUUGCACAAUGGGGGAAACCCUGAUCCAGCGACGCCGCGUGAGUGAAGAAGUAUUUCGGUAUGUAAAGCUCUAUCAGCAGGGAAGAUAAUGACGGUACCUGAGUAAGAAGCCCCGGCUAACUACGUGCCAGCAGCCGCGGUAAUACGUAGGGGGCAAGCGUUAUCCGGAUUUACUGGGUGUAAAGGGAGCGUAGACGGCAGGGCAAGUCUGAUGUGAAAGCCCGGGGCUCAACCCCGGGACUGCAUUGGAAACUGUCCGGCUAGAGUGCAGGAGAGGUAAGUGGAAUUCCUAGUGUAGCGGUGAAAUGCGUAGAUAUUAGGAGGAACACCAGUGGCGAAGGCGGCUUACUGGACUGUAACUGACGUUGAGGCUCGAAAGCGUGGGUAGCAAACAGGAUUAGAUACCCUGGUA
rnacentral:rRNA from 1 species